CUACGGCAAGGAAAAAAAGACAAACCUUAUAAUUCAAAACGCGUAAGGCCAUUUACGCAGACAUCAUUAUGAAACAUAUAAUCUCGGACACUGUUGAUCGCCCACCAUGUUGUCACAAAUCUUCCUUCAACAGAAAAGAACGCAUAAGGUUGCUUCCUGUUUGAAUGUGAUUAUUUCUCAAAUCUCCACGGAGCAGCAAGAGAAAAUUGCAGACAGGAGGAAUUAAAUGCUCUCUGUAGUCAGAUAGAAUCUCAAAGCCUGACAUACACCCAAAUUUCGGACAUCAUUUUGGAAGUUUAGGUCCUCUAUUCUGUAUUCGGUAGUGUUCACAUGAAUAACUCUCAUAAUCUGUUCAAUUGACAUGAACCUUUUCUCUAUGGUUGCCAAAUCUUACUAAUCUUACUAAACAACCCUGUGUUCUUGAAAACAAAAAAAGUACACUCAUGGAGGGAACAUCUUGCUUACUGUAGGUAAUCAUCUGUAUAACUGCAGUUAGAGAGUGCAAAUUCUCUGCAGGCAAAUUGAUUUUUCGAGAACAGACAAAGUCAGGAGUAAGAUGCAUGGAGGAAGAGAAUAGAUCAAGAAAUCUCACUUCUAUCAUUUUUGAACUGUCUUGCACUGUGUUUCUGAUUAAUGGUUAAGGAACUAAACUUAGAGGUUCAAAUUUACAGGUUCAAUUCUCAGGCCAGACACUGCUGUUGCACCCUUGAGUGAGAAAAUUAAGCUGAACUUCUUCAGUAAAUAUCCAGUGGUAUAAAUGGAUUGCAAAUAACACAAGCCCUUUAAGCUGCUGUAGGUAAGAGCAUCUACUAAAAUUUCCACAAAGGAUAGCCCUCAUUCUCUGGAACCAGGAUGGGAGGAUGGGUUUUAUAGGACUAUUUUACGGCUAAUUCUUUAGAAACCUCAGUGAGACCUCUAGCAUGAGUCUUAUGAGAUAAUAUUAUAUUUAUUUAUAUUAGUUAGAUAUUGAGGAUUACAUGGUAUUGCUUAUUUAUUUCAUGGACACAUUUGACUGAAUGACGUGCAUAGUUUAAACAUGUAAAUUCAAAAGCAGUCCUCUUCCCAGUAAUAUCUAUAGCCCCAUGCCUUCUUUAUGAGCACAAACAAAAAUAAAUGCAACUUGACUCCAAUACUUACAAGAAUAAAAGUGAUGUGGGCUUGCCGGAAUUACAAUGGAAUGAGUAUCAUGUCUUGUUAUCAAUCUUGCUUACAGGAAAAAUCUAGCUUUAUUAUAAAACCAGAGAUGCUGUUGUUUGAGGCUAGGCCAAAUUGAAUCAUUUUUGUGGAUAAAGAGCCAAUCUGUUCCUCUUUGCUCUGCCCAUUAUCAGUGUAACUGAAAAAGCCUGGAGUGCUGUCUGAAGUGCCUCUAUACAGUACAUGAAAAACUAAAAAUGGCUCCCUAGCCAAUAUGUCAGCAGCUGAAGUUUCAUGGAGUCCUGAAUUCCAUGUUAAUACAACAAUUCACAAACCAUGGCACAACUAACAUUGCCAACAAAAAUUGAGUGUAAACGCAUAAUUGCACAUUUGGCUGUGAAUUCAUUCUCCUUUUGAGAAUGUUUGAUUUUCUUUAAGCAUUCCUGAAACAGUAGAUGAAACUUCUGUGCAUGUAAUUUAAAACUACCCUAAAAUCUCAUUAUAAUGUGCAAUUUGGAAACUCAUGCCAACAAUCCAUAAACACCUUCACACUAGAAAAUGAAUCUCUUUCCCUGUGCUUAUAUAUAGCUACACUGUUAAAAAAAGCCUUCUUCAACUACAAAAUUGUAAGUUAUUGAUUACAAUGCACUUUUUAAAUUGGCUCAGUUUAGGUUCUUUGGAUGGUUAAAAAUUCUAUGCUCUGGUGACAAGCUUUUUAUGUUGGCGCAUCAGCCAAAAAUAAGUUUUGUAGGUCCAGUAAAAUAUUUGUGAACUACAUUUUAUUACUCCAUUCAAAUACAAAACCAAAAUGACCAAGUUCAUCAGAAUUUUACACUGGGCCAACAUAAAAUACAGUAGAAAGGUGUUGGUGGACUAAAACUAAAUGAGGUGUGGCAAAAUUCCAUCCUUCUAUCAAUCAAUUUCUAUGUUGCUCUCUUCUGGUCAGGGGUUGUCAGGCAGCUGGGGCCUUUGGUGGGGCUAGGAUUUGUUAUCUAAAGCAGUGGUUCUCAAACUCGGUCCUGGGGGACCCCUGUGUAUGCUGGUUUUCAUUCCAACCUC